AUUGAACGCUGGCGGCAUGCCUUACACAUGCAAGUCGAACGGUAACAGGUCUUCGGAUGCUGACGAGUGGCGAACGGGUGAGUAAUACAUCGGAACGUGCCCGAGAGUGGGGGAUAACGAAGCGAAAGCUUUGCUAAUACCGCAUACGAUCUCAGAAUGAAAGCAGGGGACCGCAAGGCCUUGCGCUCACGGAGCGGCCGAUGGCAGAUUAGGGAGUUGGUGGGAUAAAAGCUUACCAAGCCGCCGAUCUGUAGCUGGUCUGAGAGGACGACCAGCCACACUGGGACUGAGACACGGCCCAGACUCCUACGGGAGGCAGCAGUGGGGAAUUUUGGACAAUGGGCGCAAGCCUGAUCCAGCCAUGCCGCGUGCAGGAUGAAGGCCUUCGGGUUGUAAACUGCUUUUGUACGGAACGAAAAGACUCCUUCUAAUAAAGGGGGUCCAUGACGGUACCGUAAGAAUAAGCACCGGCUAACUACGUGCCAGCAGCCGCAGUAAUAC
rnacentral:rRNA from 1 species